AUUGAACGCUGGCGGCGUGCUUAACACAUGCAAGUCGAGCGGUAACAGGUGUAGCAAUACAUGCUGACGAGCGGCGAACGGGUGAGUAAUGCUUCGGAAUCUGCCCAGUAAUGGGGAAUAACCAGCCGAAAGGUUGGCUAAUACCGCAUACGACCUACGGGUGAAAGCGGGGGAUCGCAAGACCUCGCGUUAUUGGAUGAGCCGAAGUCGGAUUAGCUUGNGGUGAGGUAACGGCUCACCAAGGCGACAAUCCGUAGCUGGUCUGAGAGGACGACCAGCCACACUGGGACUGAGACACGGCCCAGACUCCUACGGAGGCAGCAGUGGGAAUAUUGGACAAUGGGGAAACCCUGAUCCAGCGACGCCGCGUGUGUGAAGAAGGCCUGCGGGUUGUAAAGCACUUUUAGUGGGGAUGAAAGUUCGGGCUAAUAAUCCCGGAUCUUGACCUAACCCAAAGAAAAA
rnacentral:rRNA from 1 species